rnacentral:rRNA from 1 species
AUUGAACGCUGGCGGCAUGCCUAACACAUGCAAGUCGAGCGGAUGAAGGGAGCUUUCUCCUGUCUUCAGCUGCGGACGGGUGAGUAAUUCCUAGGAAUCUGCCUGGUCUUUAGGGCUGACGUCCGUAAACGGGCGCUAAUACCGCAUCCGUCCUUAUUGUGAAACUGGUGGUUCUUCGGACCUCACGCUAUCUGAUGAGCCUAAGCCGGAUUAGCUAGUUGGUUUGGUAAAGGCUUACCAAGGCGACGAUCCGUAACUGGUCUGAGAGGCUGAUCAGUCACACUGGAACUGAGACACGGUCCAGACUCCUACGGGAGGCAGCAGUGGGGAAUCCUGGACAAUGGGCGAAAGCCUGAUGGAGCCAUGCCGCGUGUGUGAAGAAGGUCUUCGGAUUGUAAAGCACUGUAAGUUGGGAGGAAGGGAAGUAAGUUAAUACCUGGAUGUUUUGAAGUUACCAAAAGAAUAAGCACCGGCUAACUACGUG